CGAGUUAGGGAAGAGCUACUUCCAGGAGUACUGUGUGAACGUUGACUUCACCGAACUCUUUCAGUUAUACAAUCUCCGGGCCCUCGACAAAUCAAUCAUCAGUUGCUAUUGUCUAUCGAAGAUGCUCGAAUGCAAAAGGGACGAUAUCACAGACAUUGGGUUCAUUGACCCGCACACAAUGCAUGUUAAAACCAUAGAGAAUCCCCUCUAUAACAAGGAUACACCGCAGACUUUGCUAAGGUUUUUGAAGCGACAACGUGACAAAAAGCUAAUACUUUGGCCUUACAACUUCGAGUGAGUCUUACUGUCUUAUAACACAUUAUAUUUUGCUCACCGUAUGUCAAAAUUUUAACUAAUGACUUAUAUAUAUGACACUACAUAUUGAAACGUGCGUAGGUUUCACUUUAUUCUUCUCGUCAUCAAUUUGAAAAUUGGAGAAGUUGAAGUCUUGGACUCACUAAGCAAAAAAAAAAGGAUCUAUACGUGUCUUGUUUUUUAAUGCUCAGAAGGUAAUUUUAAUUCUUAUCGGUUUGUUUCGUUAAUUUCCUGCUUUGAACUAAUUGAUGACUCUUUUAUGCAUUUUCUUUUGUCGAGCAGCGUAUGGCAAACUUUCAUCAAGGAAGAUACGUCCCGUGAAUGGACACCGAAGCUGCGAUGGCGUGCGAAAAAAUGCCCGCAACAACCUCCGGGGACCGAUCUCUGUGGAUUCUUCGUUUGCGAGUACAUCCGCAGAAUUGUCAGCGAGAGAACGAAUAAUGAAAGAAAUAAAGAGUUGGCAAGAAAGCGGAACAAGCUCUCAAUCGAUGACCGCUUCAUAGCAAUAGGCGAGGAAUUGGCGGGAUUUUUCCUUCGGGACGUCAUACCACCACUCGCAGAGUACCACUAUGAAUGAAGAUGUACAUGUUACAUAUAUAGUUGACUCGAAGAGUACCACUAUGCUACAUGUAAUAGACAUAUAUAGAGUACGCCUCGGAGAGUACCACUAUGCAUGAAGAUCGAUCUUCAUGCAUAGUGCUACUUAAUUUGUGAUCU